rnacentral:rRNA from 1 species
AUUGAACGCUGGCGGCAUGCUUUACACAUGCAAGUCGAACGGCAGCGAGGAGAAGCUUGCUUCUCUGUCGGCGAGUGGCGAACGGGUGAGUAUAGCAUCUGAACGUGCCAAGUAGUGGGGGAUAACCAAACGAAAGUUUGGCUAAUACCGCGUAAGCUCUAAGGAGGAAAGUAGGGGACCUAAAUAAGGCCUUACGCUAUUUGAUCGGCCGAUGUCGGAUUAGCUAGUUGGUGGGGUAAUGGCUCACCAAGGCAAUGAUCCGUAGCGGGUCUGAGAGGACGAUCCGCCACACUGGGACUGAGACACGGCCCAGACUCCUACGGGAGGCAGCAGUGGGGAAUUUUGGACAAUGGGGGAAACCCUGAUCCAGCCAUGCCGCGUGUAUGAAGAAGGCCUUAGGGUUGUAAAGUACUUUUGUUAGGGAAGAAAAGCUAGUUUUUAAUAAAAAUUAGUGAUGACGGUACCUAAAGAAUAAGCACCGGCUAACUACGUG